AGAGUUUGAUCCUGGCUCAGAUUGAACGCUGGCGGCAUGCCUUACACAUGCAAGUCGAACGGCAGCACGGAGCUUGCUCUGGUGGCGAGUGGCGAACGGGUGAGUAAUAUAUCGGAACGUACCCUAGAGUGGGGGAUAACGUAGCGAAAGUUACGCUAAUACCGCAUACGAUCUAAGGAUGAAAGUGGGGGAUCGCAAGACCUCAUGCUCGUGGAGCGGCCGAUAUCUGAUUAGCUAGUUGGUAGGGUAAAAGCCUACCAAGGCAUCGAUCAGUAGCUGGUCUGAGAGGACGACCAGCCACACUGGAACUGAGACACGGUCCAGACUCCUACGGGAGGCAGCAGUGGGGAAUUUUGGACAAUGGGCGAAAGCCUGAUCCAGCAAUGCCGCGUGAGUGAAGAAGGCCUUCGGGUUGUAAAGCUCUUUUGUCAGGGAAGAAACGGUGAGAGCUAAUAUCUCUUGCUAAUGACGGUACCUGAAGAAUAAGCACCGGCUAACUACGUGCCAGCAGCCGCGGUAAUACGUAGGGUGCAAGCGUUAAUCGGAAUUACUGGGCGUAAAGCGUGCGCAGGCGGUUUUGUAAGUCUGAUGUGAAAUCCCCGGGCUCAACCUGGGAAUUGCAUUGGAGACUGCAAGGCUAGAAUCUGGCAGAGGGGGGUAGAAUUCCACGUGUAGCAGUGAAAUGCGUAG
rnacentral:rRNA from 1 species